GAUGAACGCUAGCGGCAGGCCUAAUACAUGCAAGUCGAGGGGUAUGGGUUGCUUGCAACCCAGAGACCGGCGCACGGGUGCGUAACGCGUAUGCAAUCUACCUUAAUCAGGGGGAUAGCCCGGAGAAAUCCGGAUUAACACCGCAUAACAUUGAGUUGUGGCAUCACAGUUCAAUCAAAUAUUUAUAGGAUUAAGAUGAGCAUGCGUGACAUUAGUUAGUUGGUGAGGUAACGGCUCACCAAGACCACGAUGUCUAGGGGAUCUGAGAGGAUGACCCCCCACACUGGUACUGAGACACGGACCAGACUCCUACGGGAGGCAGCAGUAAGGAAUAUUGGUCAAUGGGCGCAAGCCUGAACCAGCCAUGCCGCGUGCAGGAAGACGGCCCUAUGGGUUGUAAACUGCUUGUGUACCGGAAUAAACCUUCUCUUGCGAGAGAAGCUGAACGUACGGUAAGAAUAAGGAUCGGCUAACUCCGUG
rnacentral:rRNA from 1 species